rnacentral:rRNA from 1 species
UGGGGAAUAUUGCACAAUGGACGGAAGUCUGAUGCAGCGACGCCGCGUGGGGGAUGAAGGCUUUCGGGUUGUAAACUCCUUUUGAUGCUGAACAAGGCUCUUUUUAGGGUUGAGGGUAGGUGUUGAAUAAGCGCCGGCUAACUACGUGCCAGCAGCCGCGGUAAUACGUAGGGCGCGAGCGUUGUCCGGAAUUAUUGGGCGUAAAGGGCUCGUAGGCGGUUUGUCGCGUCUGCUGUGAAAGACCGGGGCUUAACUCCGGGGUUGCAGUGGGUACGGGCAGACUAGAGUGCGGUAGGGGUAGCUGGAAUUCCUGGGGUAGAGGUGGAAUGCGCAGAUAUCAGGAGGAACACCGAUGGCGAAGGCAGGUUACUGGGCCGUUACUGACGCUGAGGAGCGAAAGCAUGGGGAGCGAACAGG